GGGGGCGAAGGGUAUCGACGGGGUGAUGAUGGUGCCGAGGCGCAUACCGAGGUUCCAGGCCCCCUCGUAAAUCCGACCUGGGAACAACAGUUCCCGAGAUGGGAUACGCCCUGGCUGCCUGAGAAGAAGGCGGCCUCGUCUCCAUCAGUUGUUCCGAUUCGGCUGGUGGUAGACGGCAUAGAGGAUCGGAUAGGAUCGGUGAUGCUCCUAAGCCGGUCUGAAGACCAAGGGGCUGGCCGUGGGGGAUCCUGUCUCCUGGAGCCGUCACGGUGAGAUAAAAAGGAGGCUAAGUAUGUAGGGUCCGUCACCUGAACACCCCGGACGCGGGUUCGAUUCCCGCCGCCUCCAUUU
rnacentral:tmRNA from 1 species